CCGAGUUUACCACAACUCCCAAACCCCUGUGAACAUACCUAGCGUUGCCUCGGCAGGCCGCGCCCCGCCUCCCCUCGGGCGGGCGGGCGUAGCCUGCCGGCGGCCCACGAAACUCUUGUUUGUUAAAUACUGGCAUUCUGAACGUACAAGCAAAUCAGUUA
rnacentral:misc_RNA from 1 species